AACGAACGCUGGCGGCAGGCCUAACACAUGCAAGUCGAGGGGGAAGCCAUCUUCGGAUGGUGGAGACCGGCGCACGGGUGAGUAACGCGUGGGAAUUUACCUUGGAGUGGGGAAUAACCGCUGGAAACGGCGGCUAAUACCGCAUACGCCCUUAGGGGGAAAGCUUUAGCGCUCUGGGAUGAGCCCGCGUUAGAUUAGGUUGUUGGUGGGGUAAAGGCCUACCAAGCCUUCGAUCUAUAGCUGGUCUGAGAGGAUGAUCAGCCACACUGGGACUGAGACACGGCCCAG
rnacentral:rRNA from 1 species